ACAAGUGGGGGGGGGGGGGGGUCAAAGUUUUACAUACAAAUGUAGAAAAAAGCUUUAAAAGAACCAUUGGGCCAAAGAAGUUGACAUUUACAUGAAAGCUUUCUGACAUAGUGUAGAUUCAAGUUUGCAAAGGGUAGUUUGGGCCAUAAUAGGGACCAAGGUUUUACAUGCAAAUAUAUAUGGAAAGUCUUCAGAUAUGGGCCAAGGUGACUCAGGUGAGCGAUGUGGCCCAUGGGCCUCUUGUUGUUAAGGUCACUUAAUUGCUAUCUGUUUUUGUCUGUCGCUGUGCAUAUGUGCAGGUGUGUGUCAUUUGUAAACUUCUCACAUUUUCAAUUCAUUCUCAAGAACCGCUGAUUAAAAGCUGAUUUCAAUUACACUUGCCACAAAGUAUCCUUAGGUGAGGGGAAUUCUUUUUUUUUCAAAUGAAGGGUAGUGCCCCCUUCCAAGGAGAGAUAAUCAAGAAAAGGUGAUGUCAUUAAAAAAAUCCCUUCUCAAGAAGAGUUGAAUCUUAUCUGAAAGCCUCCUGACAUAGUGUAAAUUCUUUUCUUUUUUAAAUCAUGGCCCCUGGGGGUAGGGUGGGGCCACAGAAGUGGAUCAAAGUUUGACAUAGGAAUAUAUAGGAAGAAAUCUUAUAAGAUCUUCUCAAGAAGGCCAUGGCUGGCCAUAUUAAAAUUGGGAGCAUCCUUAAAUUGUUCCGAUUCCAGUUUGUUCAAAUCAAAACCCCCAGAAGUACGAUGGUUGAAAUAUUACAUACGUAAGUUUUUAAAAAAAAAAAAUUGGCUAUAUAUCACAAUUAUUAGCUAUAUCGAAUCUGUUAUAACAAUGCAAGCAUGACUCCUAUUAUAUCAUCUGUAUAGUUCAUUUAUUUGAGCAUUAUAACCUGUGUGAUUGAUUUUCUAUUUUGAGGUAUGAAGUUGAUGAGUUCAAAUUAAAAUACAGCAUCUGUGGACUGUGGAGCUAAGAGAUUUUAAUAUUUUCCUGCACAUUUUCAGACUCUAGUUCAGUAUUGUUACAUGCAAAUUAUCAGGACAGAAUUGGAGGAAGUGAAAUUUGCUUGGAAUAACCAUCGGAUCAGGAAGCAAAAAAUGGGAGAUGUUGUUCCUGGGAUUCCAGAAUUCCUUUAUCAUGUUCCAGAAAUGUUAGGUAUUCCAAUUGUGAAUGACGAAAAGUUUAAGUUCCUAAAGGACCAGUGCUGUUUUAAAAAUGACUUGGAUAAGGACAUUCAAGAAUCUCUUGAUGUUAUAUGCGACCAUCACCGGCCUUCAUCAGUAUCUGAAGGCAAAGCAAUGUACAUUUCACUGAAAGAUAUAUUGGAACAGUAUAUUUAUCAGUAAUUUAUGAUGUUUUGGACUUUAUGGCAAUUCUGACAAGUUCAAGAUCACCGACAGAAUUUUUCAAAAAUAAAAUCCAGUUAAUGAAUCUAGAAUGGAUAAAUAUUGGAAUUUGAUACUUCAAGCAAAGAUUAAUAUGAGCUAAAGAUAUUUUUUCGUUUUAACUUUGUCUGAAGGUAAUUCGGACAAGUUAAGGUCUUAAGGCAAAAAGUGUUAAUUUCAUGUCAGUCCCAUAACUUUGUAUAGGGGAUACUCUGCAAGUUUAUAUUGCAUAUAAGAUUACUUAUGACCAGAGAGUGUCUCAUUAUUUAUUUUUUUGUAACCAGGGUGAUUUUGGCAAGUUUGUGGUCACUUGUAGAAGUUUGUGAGCUCACAGUGCCUUUAGUUUUUUGUAUUCUUAUUAUUGUUAUAUGACCUGGUCUUUUAUGUUUCCACUGUUGGAUGGUUAUUCUAUGCAAAUUUCACUUCUUCCCAUACUUUUUGCCAUACUCUAUUUAUGUGUCUUAAGUUUUGUAGACAAUUUUUGUAUUUCUUUUUUGUCAGCUUUUCAAUAAUUUGACCUUUCAUUAUGACCAUCUAUGAAAGAAAUUAUGUAUAUUAUGGAACAGUCUGUGCGAAAAGGUAAACCCGACGAUUGCCUCCAAGUGAUCACUGUAAUUGAAACUUUGUGUAAAAACAAAUUUUCGUAUUCUUAAGAGUGAUUUUCUUCAGAGAAAGUUUAUUUGGAGAUUUUAGAUUCUUUAUGGUGAUCCCCCCCCCCCCCCCCCCCUUCCCCCGAGAAUUCUAUUGUUGAUAUACUUUAAAUUAUUAGUAGGAAACCGAUGAGUGAUAGCCUACCUCAUAUGACGUAUUAUGGUAUGGCGUCGUCCGUCUGUCUGUCCGGACCUUGUGGGCAGGAUACAGACUGAACCAUAAGCCCUAGGACUUUACAACUUGGUACAUUUGAUCACCAUGAUGAGAGGAAGAUACCUAUUGUUUUUCAAGGUCAAAGGUCAAGGUUGUAGUAUCACUUAUUAGGAAAACCUUGUGGGCAGGAUACAAACAGAACCGUAAGCUCCAGGAUAUUAUAACUUGGUAUAUUUGAUCACCAUGAUGAGAGGAAGAUGCCUAUUUUUUUCAAGGUCAAGGUAAUAGGUUUACUUAGUAGGAAAACCUUGUAGGUAUACAGACCGAACCGUUGGGGCUAGGAGUGUCAAAUUUAAUAUGCAUAUACCUUAUUCCAAGUGGAGGAAGCCUAUUGUUUCUCAAGGUCAAAGGUCAAGGUGGUUGUAGCAGGAUACAAAUAAAACUGUUGUGGCUAGGAAUGCCAAUACUUUUCUUUUUCAAGUUUAAAAGGUCAAGACUGUUAGAUGGCAUGCUUCACUUGAUAAUUUGGUGCCAAGUAUAGCUUGUGAACUUCCAAGUUAUACUUUAUUUCUAUAUAAUUUGAGAUUCUCCUGCAAAAAAAAAUGGUGAUCUGCCUCUACAAAAAUAGUUAUGUUCAAUAUUUUUGACCAUUUCAAACUGAAACUAAUUACUGAAAUAAACACAUGAAAUCAAAUUGUAUUGCAUUUCAGUAUACUGUACCUGUACUUAUACUUUAGCACUAACUGUUUCAAGCAAAGGUGUGUGGUAUAUUAGCAUAUUUAUGAAGUAGCGCAUUCUAAGGCUAUCCCUCUUUAUAUCUUGAUAUCCAUUUCUACAAGCAUAAUAAUGAAUUAGCUCAAAGAGGACAGUGCUAACUUCACUAAAAUAUGAAUCCCACUAAAAUAUGUUUUCCUUGAGCAAAAUCUACGGGCGUAUUAUGCCACGUUGGCGUUGCUCUUGUUAUACCAUCUUGACCUGUCACUUAGUCAUCUUGAGUUGUUCCCCUUUGAUUGUGCUAUGAUUUUUAUGUCGAUCUAGUAUAUCUGGUUGUUGUGACAAUAAUAAAUUCUUGUCUUGUUAUAUGCAAGUCCUCAGUCAAGUUGUAUAACAUUUUGCUUGUUUAUUUAUUGAUUCAAAUGAAUAAAUGUAUUAAUUUUA